UACAACAGCAUGUACGAAGAGGAAAACAUGUGCAAGCAGUUAAGAUACAAAAAUAAAAAGUCUGGAUAACUUCAACCAUUUAUACAACAUUUUAGUAAUCAGUCAGAUUAUAAUGCAGAUUUGUGUUCAACAUUGGUAGCUGAAAAUAUUCCAAUGAAUAAACUAAAUAAUAAUCAUUUUCACGAAUUUUUAAUUAAAUAUUGCAAAAAUUAUCAUGGGUUUGAUUUAGACGAAACCUCUUGUAUGAAGUAUGCACCGAUCACUUCAGUGGAUGUAGAGCAUUCGUUUUCUAUGUAUAAAAACAUUCUGUCA